rnacentral:rRNA from 1 species
CCUACGGGUGGCAGCAGUAGGGGAUAUUGCUCAAUGGGGGAAACCCUGAUGCAGCGACGCCGCGUGGGUGAAGAAGGAUUUCGGAUUGUAAAGCCCUAUCAGUAGAGAAGAUAAUGACGGUAUCUGACGAAUAAGCACCGGCUAACUACGUGCCAGCAGCCGCGGUAAUACGUAGGGGGCAAGCGUUACCCGGAGUUACUGGGCGUAAAGGGCGCGUAGACGGGAUAGCAAGUCAGAUGUGAAAUCCUAUGGCGUAACCAUGGGACUGCAUUGGAAACUGUUAUUCUAGAGUAGGGGAGGGGUAGGUGGAAUUCUUGGUGUAGGGGUAAAAUCCGUAGAGAUCAAGAGGAAUACUCAUGGCGAAGGCGACCUGCUAGAACAUAACUGACGCUGAGGCGCGAAAGCGUGGGGAGCAAACAGGAUUAGAUACCCGAGUAGUC